AUUGAACGCUGGCGGUAUGCCUUACACAUGCAAGUCGAACGGUAGAGGGGCAACCCUUGAGAGUGGCGAACGGGUGAGUAAUACAUCGGAACGUGCCCAGUCGUGGGGGAUAACGUAGCGAAAGCUACGCUAAUACCGCAUACGACCUGAGGGUGAAAGCGGGGGAUCGCAAGACCUCGCGCGAUUGGAGCGGCCGAUGGCAGAUUAGGUAGUUGGUGGGGUAAAGGCCUACCAAGCCUGCGAUCUGUAGCUGGUCUGAGAGGACGACCAGCCACACUGGGACUGAGACACGGCCCAGACUCCUACGGGAGGCAGCAGUGGGGAAUUUUGGACAAUGGGCGCAAGCCUGAUCCAGCAAUGCCGCGUGCAGGAUGAAGGCCUUCGGGUUGUAAACUGCUUUUGUACGGAGCGAAAAGGCUCUCUCUAAUACAGGGGGCUCAUGACGGUACCGUAAGAAUAAGCACCGGCUAACUACGUGCCAGCAGCCGCAGUAAAAC
rnacentral:rRNA from 1 species